rnacentral:rRNA from 1 species
UUAUUGAAAAUGCGAAUAUUUAUGCUUGAGUAGUAGUAGUUAUGUUCUUGAAAUUUAAAAAAUCUGGCGGUAUUUUAGUCUAUUCAGAGGAACCUGUCCUGUAAUUGAUAAUCCACGAUUAAUCAUACUUAUUUUUAGUUUGUAUAUCGUCGUAGUUUGAAUGUUUUUAAAAAAAUGGUAAUGUUCAAAAUUUAUAUAAAAAUAAAAAAAAUCAGAUCAAGAUACAGCGUAUAAAUAAGAAGAGAUGGGUUACAAUAAAUAUAUUUAAAUGGUUAUAAUAAUUAAAAUUAUUUUAUAAAGUGGAUUUGAUAGUAAUAUGAUUUAAUUUAAUUGUAUGAUUUUAGCUCUAAAAUAUGUACAUAUCGCCCGUCGCUCCUUCCUUAAAGAAGGAUAAGUC